GCGGAGAGCCGGAUGGCCGCGGGGCGUAAAGCCCCGAGGAAAGUCCGGACUCCAAGAAGCAACGGUGCCGGGUAACGCCCGGGCGGGGUAACCCGACGGAUAGCGCCACAGAGAACAGACGGCCCCGCAGGUCGGGGUCAGGGUGAAACGGUGGGGUAAGAGCCCACCGCGCCGCUGGCAACAGGGGCGGCAAGGCAAGCCCCACCGGGAGCAAUGCCAAAUAGGACCCCCGCGCGGGCUGGUCCCCUUGGGGAUACCGCCGCUAGGCUCGCUUUUGCCGAGAGGGGUCGGGUUGGCAGCUAAAGGUGCAUGGCAACAUGUACCGUAGAUGAAUGGUCAUCGAAGGGGGCAACCCCGGAACAAAAUCCGGCUUACAGGCUCUCCGCGCGU
rnacentral:RNase_P_RNA from 1 species